GGGGCGGCCGUGGCGGCCGGCGCCAGCGCGCCGCUGGCGGCGCUGCUGGGCGGCUGGCAGCCCGCGCUGGCGUUCUGGGCGCUGCCCGCCCUGC
rnacentral:tRNA from 1 species